rnacentral:RNase_P_RNA from 1 species
GCCGCAGGCUACCCUAUCGCGGUUCUCCGCAAGGAGGAAUGAGGAAAGUCCGGACAACGCAGAGCGCCACACCAUCUAACGGAUGGGGUUCCGGCCUUGGCCGGGAUACAGCGAGUGUCACAGAAAAUUACCGCCCCGGCUCUGUCGGGGUAAGGGUGAAAACGUGCGGUAAGAGCGCACGACGCUUCCGGGUAACCGGGAGGGUGGACAAACCUUGUGGGUUGAAAUGCCAUGUACAUCCGGGUCGGCUGCCUGUGGGCGGCCGGUGGAGUUGCUCGCUCCACGACUUCUUCGGAAGGAGCCCGGAGGGGUAGGCAGAUAGACCCCGUGCCGUGAGGCCGGGGCUAGAUAAAUGAUAGGGCUCGACAGAAUCCGGCUUACAGGCCUGCGGCGAGC